CCUACGGGAGGCAGCAGUGAGGAAUAUUGGUCAAUGGGCGCGAGCCUGAACCAGCCAUGUAGCGUGAAGGAUGACUGCCCUACGGGUUGUAAACUUCUUUUAUAAAGGAAUAAAGUGAGGCACGAGUGCCUUUUUGUAUGUCCUUUAUGAAUAAGGAUCGGCUAACUCCGUGCCAGCAGCCGCGGUAAUACGGAGGAUCCGAGCGUUAUCCGGAUUUAUUGGGUUUAAAGGGGGCGUAGAUGGGUUGUUAAGUUAGUUGUGAAAGUGUGCGGCUCAACCUGAAAAUUGCAAUUGAUACUGGCAGCCUUGAGUACAGUUGAGGGAGGCGGAAUGCGUGGUGUAGCGGUGAAAUGCUUAGAUAUCACGAAGAACUCCGAUUGCGAAGGCAGCUUACUAAGCUGCCACUGACAUUGAUGCUCGAAAGUGUGGGUAGCAAACAGGAUUAGAUACCCCGGUAGUC
rnacentral:rRNA from 1 species